AUUGUUUGAAUGGAUUGGCAUGGUGGUCCUUCUCUAUCCUUGAACACUGAAAGGAAAUGUGCGCAGACCAGAAUACUCUCGAAACACAACUGAGCCACAUAUCUAACCUCAAAUUCAGAGGAAUGCAAUGACGUGAAAGCAGAUGGAAGCUUAUGCCAGAAUAGUUUAAUGAGAAUUAGAUUUUGUGAUAAUGAAGUGGUAAUGAUAUGCAGCAAUGCUAUGUAUCAGAGGAAACAGAACAUCCCAAUAUAAUUGGCUUUUGCCUGUUGUUGGAGAUACUUCUAAAUUAAAAACCAAUAUAAAAAUCCAAUCCAAUCAAUUAAAAAUGUCAAGUAAAGUUGCAAGACCAUUUUGCUUAGUUAAAGUGUUAUAUCCUCCAAGGUUUCAACAUACUGAAUUAAAUACAGAUGGUCUGUGAUACAGACUCUACUCACGGAACAUGGUUUCUGAAGGACUGAUUGAUUCCCCCCCUGACCCCUGCAAAUCUAUCCUGAAAAUUUGGAAGAUCCUCUGGAAUGUGAGAGGCAAUGUCUAAAGGGCAGGGUUGGAACCUAUCCACUGAAAAGAACAAAACCAAAAUAUUCUGGAUUUUCUUCAUAUUUUAAGAUUGAAAUUCUUUCCUCUUCCAUUCUUGCCUCUAAAACCACCUUUAUUCCCUGAACUGUUUUGGGGAAAUGUAAUCUACAGCAGCAGAUCUGGACUGCAAACCUUCAGUUAGCUACUACAUGGCAGCAAAGAAUUAAAAUGUUCUACAUCUUUUAAAA